rnacentral:rRNA from 1 species
UACGGAGGAUGCAAGCGUUAUCCGGAAUGAUUGGGCGUAAAGCGUCCGCAGGUGGCUGUGUAAGUCUGCUGUCAAAGAGCGAAGCUCAACUUCGUAAAGGCAGUGGAAACUACACGGCUAGAGUGCGUUCGGGGCAGAGGGAAUUCCUGGUGUAGCGGUGAAAUGCGUAGAGAUGGGGGAGAACACUCGUGGCGAAGGCGGCCAGCUAGACCAGUUCUGACACUGAGGCGCGACAGCGUGGGGAGCAAACAGG